GAGUGGCGGAUGGGUGAGGAAUACAUCGGAAUCUACUUUUUCUUGGGGGAUAACGUAUGGAAACUUACGCUAAUACCGCAUACGACCUACGGGUGAAAGCAGGGGACCUUCGGGCCUUGCGCGAUUGAAUGAGCCGAUGUCGGAUUAUCUAGUUGGCGGGGUAAAGGCCCACCAAGGCGACGAUCCGUAUCUGGUCUGAGAGGAUGAUCACCCACACUGGAACUGAGACACGGUCCAGACUCCUACGGGAGGCAGCAGUGGGGAAUAUUGGACAAUGGGCGCAAGCCUGAUCCAGCCAUACCGCGUGGGUGAAAAAGGCCUUCGGGUUGUAAAGCCCUUUUGUUGGGAAAGAAAUCCAGCUGGCUAAUACCCGGUUGGGAUGACGGUACCCAAAGAAUAAGCACCGGCUAACUUCGUGCCAGCAGCCGCGGUAAUACGAAGGGUGCAAGCGUUACUCGGAAUUACUGGGCGUAAAGCGUGCGUAGGUGGUCGUUUAAGUCCGUUGUGAAAGCCCUGGGCUCAACCUGGGAACUGCAGUGGAUACUGGGCGACUAUAGUGUGGUAGAGGGUAGCGGAAUUCCUGGUGUAUCAGUGAAAUGCGUAUAGAUCACGAGGAACAUCCAUGGCGAAGGCAGCUACCUGGACCAACACUGACACUGAGGCACGAAAGCGUGGGGAGCAAACAGGAUUAUAUACCCUGGUAGUCCACGCCCUAACGAUGCGAA
rnacentral:rRNA from 1 species